rnacentral:rRNA from 1 species
UACAGAGGGUGCAAGCGUUGUUCGGAAUUACUGGGCGUAAAGCGCGUGUAGGCGGCGUCGUUAGUCGGAUGUGAAAGCCCUCGGCUCAACCGAGGAAGUGCAUCCGAUACUGCGAUGCUUGAGUGUUGGAGGGGGUGGCGGAAUUCCCGGUGUAGAGGUGAAAUUCGUAGAUAUCGGGAGGAACACCUGUGGCGAAGGCGGGUCUCUGGACAGUUCCUGACACUGAGGCACGAAGGCCAGGGGAGCAAACGGG